rnacentral:ncRNA from 1 species
UUAAAAUUUGAUUCUUGUUUAUGAUUUUGCUUAUUGAAUAUGUUACAUGUAAAUUUUUGUGUGGAUUACUUGGAUCUAAAAGAUAAGGUUUUAUUCGCAGUAAUUAGUAUUAAUUAUUAGGGUAUUCUAGAAUUAGUAAUUUAAUAUAACAUUGGCUGAAUUCGUGCCAGCUGCCGCGGUUAUACGUGAAAUGUGAGUAAAUUCUUUUAGUUGAGAAGUUAAUUUGGAAGAUGAAGUAAAAUUUAAUUUGUUUUUAAAGGUGGAAUUUGUAACUAAAUGAAAUAAUUUUAUAAAUAAUUAUGAGGCUUUGAAAUUUUAAUAAUAAACUAGGAUUAGAUACCCUAUUAUAUAAGAAGUAAAAUUAGUUGACUAGGGUAGUAGUAGUUGUAAUCUUGAAACCCAAAGAAUUUGGCGGUGUUUUAGUCUAAUUAGAGGAAUUUGUCCCGUAAUUGAUGGUACACAUUUUAAUUUACUUGAUUUUGAAUAUUAGUAUGUAUACCGCCGUCAUAAGAAUAUCUUUGAAGAGUGAAUUUUCUUGAGGUUUAAGAAGAAAGUAUGUCAGGUCGAGGUGCAGCUUAUAAUCAAGAGGAGAUGAAUUACAUUAAAAAUAUUUAUAACGGAUUUUAGUUUGAAAUAAGUAGAUGAAGGUGGAUUUGAAAGUAAUAUUAUUUUAUUAUAAUAGUGUGAUUUUAAGCUCUGAAACAUGUACACAUCGCCCGUCACUCUCGUUAUAAGAUGAGAUAAGUCGUAACAAAGUAGGUGUACUGGAAAGUGUACCUAGAAAGAU